GCUGAGCAUCCAGCCUUGCUGGGUGUGGAUGAGUGGCGAACGGGUGAGUAACACGUGAGUAACCUGCCCCUGACUUCGGGAUAAGCCUGGGAAACUGGGUCUAAUACCGGAUAUGACUACUGGCCGCAUGGUCUGGUGGUGGAAAGGGUUUUACUGGUUGGGGAUGGACUCGCGGCCUAUCAGUUUGUUGGUGGGGUAGUGGCCUACCAAGACGACGACGGGUAGCCGGCCUGAGAGGGCGACCGGCCACACUGGGACUGAGACACGGCCCAGACUCCUACGGGAGGCAGCAGUGGGGAAUAUUGCACAAUGGGGGGAACCCUGAUGCAGCGACGCCGCGUGCGGGAUGACGGCCUUCGGGUUGUAAACCGCUUUCAGUAGGGAAGAAGCGAAAGUGACGGUACCUGCAGAAGAAGUACCGGCUAACUACGUGCCAGCAGCCGCGGUAAUACGUAGGGUACAAGCGUUGUCCGGAAUUAUUGGGCGUAAAGAGCUCGUAGGUGGUUGGUCACGUCUGCUGUGGAAACGCAAUGCUUAACGUUGCGCGUGCAGUGGGUACGGGCUGACUAGAGUGCAGUAG
rnacentral:rRNA from 1 species